UACGAAGGGGGCUAGCGUUGCUCGGAAUCACUGGGCGUAAAGCGCACGUAGGCGGGCUCUUAAGUCGGUGGUGAAAUCCUGGAGCUCAACUCCAGAACUGCCUUCGAUACUGGAAGACUCGAGUCCGGGAGAGGUGAGUGGAACUGCGAGUGUAGAGGUGAAAUUCGUAGAUAUUCGCAAGAACACCAGUGGCGAAGGCGGCUCACUGGCCCGGUACUGACGCUGAGGUGCGAAAGCGUGGGGAGCAAACAGG
rnacentral:rRNA from 1 species